rnacentral:lncRNA from 1 species
UUUAUUGGUACCAAGCACACAUUUACAAAAGAAGGAAGGGGCAAUAGAAUAUAAGUAGUCUCUUUGUUCCCAUGGCACUUGCCAAGAGUAGUACAACACGGCCGACAAUGGUGUACUCGCUGGUUGUACCUUUCCUGGUUCUUGCUAUAAUGUGUUCUACCUUGCCAUCGUGCCAUGCAAGCAAUGGUGUGUAAGAUAUCUCCCUGUUUGUUACAUGUUUUCCAAAAAAAUUAAAUUCAUUAAACAUAUAAGAAAAUUCUUCUUGUUUACAUGUUGUAUUUUGUAGAGGUGAAGUGCAAGCCUCUAGAUCCAUGUGAUGAUGCUGGAUGCAAAACUAUAUGUGCGGGUACAGGCAUGCCUUUUGCCAGUCCCUUUUGUAAGGAGACCCAUCCUCCACUAUGUUGCUGCAUAGGAUAGAAACAUAAGUUAAUGGUACCUUUGCUCCAACUAUGCAAUGCUAAAUAAUUCUAUGCAUGUAACACAUAGAAGCCAAUCUGAAUAAAGAUGCGUGUUUUCUUUCAACCAAAGUGGUGUGUUUGACACACUGAGAUUGGUCUAAAAUUAAAUACCUUCGCUAUAAUUGACAACGGUUUUGUAUAACAAUAUAUGUGGCAUAUAUGAAC